rnacentral:rRNA from 1 species
UGAGGAAUAUUGGUCAAUGGGCGAGAGCCUGAACCAGCCAAGUCGCGUGAAGGAAGACAGUCCUAAGGAUUGUAAACUUCUUUUAUACGGGAAUAACGGGCGAUACGAGUAUUGCAUUGAAUGUACCGUAAGAAUAAGCAUCGGCUAACUCCGUGCCAGCAGCCGCGGUAAUACGGAGGAUGCGAGCGUUAUCCGGAUUUAUUGGGUUUAAAGGGUGCGUAGGUUGUUCGGUAAGUCAGCGGUGAAACCUGAGCGCUCAACGUUCAGCCUGCCGUUGAAACUGCCGGGCUUGAGUUCAGUGGCAGCAGGCGGAAUUCGUGGUGUAGCGGUGAAAUGCAUAGAUAUCACGAGGAACUCCGAUUGCGAAGGCAGCUUGCCAUACUGCGACUGACACUGAAGCACGAAGGCGUGGGUAUCAAACAGG